rnacentral:rRNA from 1 species
AUGCACAACACCGGCCGCCUAUUCACCCUGCCGCCCAUCCCCAGGCUCGGCGCCGGCGGCGGUGGCGGUGGCUUCGCCUCCUCCACUAGCCUCUCCCUCGGCCUGACGAACAUGGAGGGCGGAGGUCAGCUGGGCGGCGCUUUCAUGGGGAGCACGGAGAGCGGCGGCGACGGCGACUCGCUGGGCCGCGCGCGGGAGGACGAGAACGACAGCCACUCCAGCAGCGACAACCUGGACGGCGCCUCCGCCGAUGAGCUCGACCCGGACAACAGCAACCCGCGCAAGAAGAAGAAGCGCUACCACCGCUAG